UGGGGAAUUUUGCACAAUGGGGGAAACCCUGAUGCAGCGACGCCGCGUGAUUUAGAAGGCCUUCGGGUUGUAAAAAUCUUUUCUAUGGGAAGAAAAUGACAGUACCAUAGGAAUAAGGACCGGCUAAUUACGUGCCAGCAGCCGCGGUAAUACGUAAGGUCCGAGCGUUGUACGGAAUCAUUGGGCGUAAAGGGUACGUAGGCGGGUAAGCAAGUUAGAAGUGAAAUCCUAUAGCUCAACUAUAGUAAGCUUUUAAAACUGCUCAUCUUGAGGUAUGGAAGGGAAAGUGGAAUUCCUAGUGUAGCGGUGAAAUGCGCAGAUAUUAGGAGGAAUACCGGUGGCGAAGGCGACUUUCUGGCCAUAACCUGACGCUGAGGUACGAAAGCGUGGGUAGCAAACAGG
rnacentral:rRNA from 1 species